UAGAUUUCAUGUAAAAAUGAA
rnacentral:piRNA from 1 species